UUUUGUUCUUAUGUCGGAGUGCAAGAGAGCCCCAAAGGCUAGAGCACUCCCCAAGUAAGCAGGCAGAGACAGAGACCCGAGUCCUACUGCUGAGUCAUUUAAAUCUGCUUUAGAUCCGGUUUUCUCAGGGCAUGGAAAGGACAGGACUCCCAGUGGAGGUAUCAUGUAGCUAGGGCCUAGAAGUAUUUUUUCAGUACAUGAAAUUUAGAAAGAAUUUGAAUAUUUUAUGCUGGGGAGGUAGGUUGUGGAGCGAAAUGGUUGGGGAAAGGAAACAUUGAGUUCAAGUGAUUCUAAAGGACACUUAACUGAUCUAAAUAUUUGUCAGGCUGAAUUGCUACAUCCACUCUCACCUGCCUGAAAUCAAUAUGCUCAAGUUGAAUGCAUUUGCCUGCAUCUGAGUGUGGAGAAUGAAUGAACUUCUUAAAGCUGAAUUGGCAGCUGGAAGGGAAGAGAGAAGAGCUGGACAGCAAGCCAGGACAUCCAGAGUUCUUUUCCACUGUGGUGGGACCUGGAAGAAGCUGUUGAAUCUCCAGAGGGUUAGCUUUUAAAUGCUGUGAGUCUUUGGAAAGCUGUGCAAAUAACUGUUAAACACUCAGGACAGCUUACGCAUUUUUUUUGAAAAAGCCUCCUGGUACUGGUUCCAGCAGAAUAGACAGAGAUGCAUGGCCUAACUCCCACCCCAUCUUCAGGACUGAGCCACGCAGCCCCCACAUCUGCCAGAAGUGUUAGCUGUUGAUGGCUGACAGCUGAGUCCCUCCCCAGGCAUUGCUGAAAAGAACCGCCUUGCUCUAGGAUGUGCCCCCACCCUGGGGGCAACACACAUUCCAAGUGGCUAGUCCAUAGCAUGAUACAAAGGUUGGACCCAUCUUGCCUGAAUUCAGGAUCUCUUGGAAAAGCCACCCCCAGCUCUGCAGCUCCUGGUGGGGUGCUGAGGCCUCUACUGCAGCUGCAUCACAGUUUAAUUUCCCCUUUGCCUAGUCCUGCUGCCUUCACUCCCCAACAGAUCACCUGCUCCAAGCAUGCCGUCUACUGUGGAAAUCUUCAAUCUUUAAUUAAUCUUUCCUGUUAUAGGAAGAUUAAGUCUAAAAGGGUAUCUUCCCUAGUUGAUCCAGAACUAAAUAACAUUGUUCUCAGUACUUCCAGUAACUUGCUUACACUCUUAUUUCUAAAGUAUUGAAUGUAUUAUCUUAUGGGCUUGUCACCCCCAGCUUGUGUCAUAGGAGAAAGUAUACGGAGAUCAGGUACAACUUCAGUUCAACAACUUAUGAUCUAUUGGAUCAGUCUCUUUAUUAAUUUCUCAAAGCCUCAAGUUCCUCGUUUAAAAUGGGGAUAAUACCUACCUUAAUUAAUUUCUUGAGGAUCAAAAGAAACCCUGGUAACAAAGCCUUGAACCAUGUCUGACUUAUAGUA